rnacentral:rRNA from 1 species
AUUGAACGCUGGCGGCAGGCCUAACACAUGCAAGUCGAGCGGAUGAAGGGAGCUUGCUCCUGGAUUCAGCGGCGGACGGGUGAGUAAUGCCUAGGAAUCUGCCUGGUAGUGGGGGAUAACGUCCGGAAACGGGCGCUAAUACCGCAUACGUCCUGCGGGAGAAAGUGGGGGAUCUUCGGACCUCACGCUAUCAGAUGAGCCUAGGUCGGAUUAGCUAGUUGGUGGGGUAAAGGCCUACCAAGGCGACGAUCCGUAACUGGUCUGAGAGGAUGAUCAGUCACACUGGAACGGAGACACGGUCCAGACUCCUAAGGGAGGCAGCAGUGGGGAAUAUUAGACAAUGGGCGAAAGCCUGAUCCAGCCAUGCCGAGUGUGUGAAGAAGGUCUUCGGAUUGUAAAGCCCUUUAAGUUGGGAGGAAGCGCAGUAAGUUAAUACCUUGCUGUUUUGACGGUACCAACAGAAUAAGCACCGGCUAACUUCGUG